rnacentral:rRNA from 1 species
AGUCGCAAGCUCGCGAGAGUAAGCUAAUCUCUUAAAGCCGUUCUCAGUUCGGACUGUAGGCUGCAACUCGCCUACACGAAGUCGGAAUCGCUAGUAAUCGCGGAUCAGAAUGCCGCGGUGAAUACGUUCCCGGGUCUUGUACACACCGCCCGUCACACCAUGGGAGUCGGAAAUGCCCGAAGUCUGUGACCCAACCAUUAAGGAGGGAGCAGCCGAAGGCAGGUCGGAUGACUGGGGUGAAGUCGUAACAAGGUACC